rnacentral:sRNA from 1 species
GGAGGUGGGACUCUGGCAGGAAGAGAGGAUUCUGGGAAAUAGUAAGGGUAUAAAAGCGAGAUGAGCCGGGCGAGGAGGAGAUAGACCGAGGAGACGGAUAUAAGCUAGUAGGUAGGUAAACUCAGGGAGACGCUGAGGGAGACAAAAACGAAGAAGCAGUUCAUGACUGAAGGAGAGGUAACAACCUCAUGGUAGACAUAUAAUAGUUUAAACGGGUUAAAUAACUUACAAGCUAGUCAGGGGAUGAGCCAAAGCUUACGGCCCAGGCCUUUAAUAAUAACUACUUAGUCUCAGUGUCAUCAUUCUAGGAGCAGGCAAAGGGUUGGACAAAAGAACCCGGCUUAACUUACACAGUGAACAUUAUUUAUCUGGGCUCUGGGGACAGGACUGGCUAUUCCCGGGUCAGUCUGAACACUGAAACUUUAUGUCAUCUCCAUCUCCAAAUGCAGGCUUCCGCUGAUUCCUCACUGAGGACGGUCUGUUCUGAAUCUGGGGAUUGUCCGCCUACAGAGACAGACAUGACAGGCUAAUGACCCGAAGGCCUCAGACACAUGUUGCUCUUUCCGUGGGAUUUCCACCCGCACCAUCCAAAUGAGACGGUCGCAGGGAAAAGUCCUUCCUCGAUGAGAGUUUUGCUAAUUUGGCUUUUCUGAUUAAAUCUGGCCCGAGGAUUGCGGAAACACGAGGAGGAGCUGCAGUUGCUGGCGACGUAUUUAUCGUGGCCCGCAGCCACUGCAGUAGAAGCGGAGUUUCGUCUGAGGCUGUAAAGAAACGGAAAAGGCCUGAGGACUUCUGGAAGCACAGUUUGGUGAACAUCUCUGCAAAGGCCAAGUCAGCAGGAGGCAAGAGGAGGCAUGGUUCUUUUUCGGAGAAAGAAAGGGAGAGAAAAGGAGAAGAGGCAAGGAUGAAGAGGUCUUAGUGUCCCACUGCUGUGAAGAGAUGCCACUGCCAUGGCAGGCCUUAUAAAGGGAAGCAUUUAAUGGGGCUGGCUUACACUCAGAGGUUUAGUCCGUUCUCAGCAUGGCGGGAGCAUGG